AAGUCGAGCGGCAGCGCGGGGCAACCUGGCGGCGAGCGGCGAACGGGUGAGUAAUGCAUCGGAACAUGUCCAUGUCGUGGGGGAUAGCCCGGCGAAAGCCGGAUUAAUACCGCAUACGCCCGAGAGGGGAAAGUGGGGGACCGCAAGGCCUCACGCGAUUGGGUUGGCCGAUGUCCGAUUAGCUAGUUGGCGGGGUAAAGGCCCACCAAGGCGAUGAUCGGUAGCUGGUCUGAGAGGAUGAUCAGCCACACUGGGACUGAGACACGGCCCAGACUCCUACGGGAGGCAGCAGUGGGGAAUUUUGGACAAUGGGGGAAACCCUGAUCCAGCCAUUCCGCGUGAGUGAAGAAGGCCUUCGGGUUGUAAAGCUCUUUUGUCCGGAACGAAACGGGUAGAUCUAAUAAGUCUGCCUACUGACGGUACCGGAAGAAUAAGCACCGGCUAACUACGUGCCAGCAGCCGCGGUAAUACGUAGGGUGCGAGCGUUAAUCGGAAUUACUGGGCGUAAAGCGUGCGCAGGCGGUUUUGUAAGCCAGAUGUGAAAUCCCCGGGCUCAACCUGGGAAUGGCAUUUGGGACUGCAAGGCUGGAGUGCGGCAAAGGAAACUGGAAUUCCCGGUGUAGCAGUGAAUUGCGUAAAUUUCGGGAGGAAUACCGAUGGCGAAGGCAGGUCUCUGGGGCUGACACUGACGCUCAUGCACGAAAGCGUGGGGGAGCAAACAGGAUAAAAUACCCUGGUAGUCCACGCCCUAAACGAUUUCGACUGGUUGUUGGGGGUUUGACACUCUCAUUACCAAGCUAACGCGUGAAGUCGACCCCUGGGGAGUACGGCCCCAGGGUUAAACUCAAGGA
rnacentral:rRNA from 1 species